ensembl:lncRNA ABCC13 ATP binding cassette subfamily C member 13 (pseudogene)
AUUCCACCAGCACCCCGCCCCAGGCGCACUGGCUAGGACUGGAAGGCAAGGACUAAGGUGAAAGCUGACUGCCCGCACCGCCCCAGGCGCACUGGGUAGGACUGAAAGGCAGGGACUAAGGUGACAGCUGACUCUGCCGGGGCGGAGUGCGUGUCCUCCCACCGUGCUGGCGCUGAACUGACUGUCCGCUGCCAAGGGAAGUGACAGCCGCAGCCGGGCUCUCAGCCAGCGGCCAGGCGCCCCGCGGACCAUGCUCUCCAGUACGCAGAACGCGGGCGGCUCCUAUCAGCGGGUCCGCGGGGCGCUUGAUACACAGAGUAAUUACUUUAGGCUAUAAGAGACCUUUGGAAAGAGAGGAUCUUUUUGAACUAAAGGAAAGUGAUUCCUUCUGCACUGCGUGUCCCAUCUUUGAAAAACAAUGGAGAAAGGAAGUUUUAAGGAAUCAAGAGAGGCAAAAAGUAAAGUUAUGUAGGUAUCUUGUUAUAAAGAGGCACAUAUCAAGAAACCAUCUCUACUCUAUGCAUUGUGGAACACCUUUAAAUCCAUCCUGAUUCAAGUUGCCUUAUUCAAAGUGUUUGCUGAUAUUUUGUCCUUCACUAGCCCACUCAUAAUGAAGCAAAUUAUCAUUUUCUGUGAACACAGCUCAGAUUUUGGCUGGAAUGGCUAUGGCUAUGCAGUGGCACUUCUUGUUGUAGUCUUUUUGCAAACUCUGAUUCUUCAGCAAUAUCAACGUUUUAACAUGCUCACCUCAGCAAAAGUUAAGACAGCUGUAAAUGGACUGAUCUACAAAAAGGCCUUACUUUUAUCAAAUGUUUCUCGACAAAAGUUUUCCACUGGGGAAAUUAUUAACUUGAUGUCAGCAACUCAUGGACUUGACAGCAAACCUCAAUCUCCUCUGGUCUGCCCCUUUUCAAAUCCUAAUGGCCGUAUAUCUCCUUUGGCAAGAGCUGGGUCCAGCAGUGUUAGCAGGGGUGGCAGUCCUUGUGUUUGUUAUACCAAUAAAUGCUUUAGCUGCAACUAAAAUAAAAAAGUUAAAGGUAAGAAAA